rnacentral:ncRNA from 2 species
UCACCGCAAUGGUAAUUCAGCUUAGCAGGUACAAGAGGAACCGCUGAUUCAGAUAAUUGGUUGCUGCGUCUAUCUGACCGGGCAGUGCCGCGAAGCUACCACCUGCUUGAUAAUGGCUGAACGCCUCCAAGUUAGAAUCCAUGCCAGAAUGCGGUGA